rnacentral:misc_RNA from 1 species
AGUUGGAUCAUUGCAAGGCACUGUAACCUGGUAAGGUAAGGGUUGUUUUGCCGGGCACGGCGCGUGUCACAGCGCGCCGCUGCCCCGCCAACCCACGACGGAGCCUGGCUGUUGCAUGACCCGUGCCGACCCCUUCCUCGUGGGGGUUCGCCGGCUGAGCAUUGCACGGGCCGGGUGAGACGGAGCCUUAGGGAAGGGCGGGGGUCUGUGACCCAGAUUCAGCCUACCCGUCUGGCUAUUAAUCCCGCACUUAUCACAACUGGUCACGAUCGAUGUCUCGGCUCAGGCAACGAUGAAGAACGCAGCAAAAGGCGAUACUUGGUACGAAUUGCAGAGCCUAUGAAGUGCCAAACCUUCGAACGCAACCGGCGGCCGCGGGGUUUCCCGAUAAGGCCAUGUUGUGAUGAGGCCGUGAUGCAGCAAACGCACCCCAGCUUCUGCUGGUGGCGCUCUGUGGGGGGCGGCGUCGAAAGCGCGCCGCACCCUGAAGUGUGUUGCCGUCUUCGCACCACAGCGGGAAACCUCUUGUGUCGUGCGUACGGCUGGCGGAACCCGCCGAAAACAAAGGCUGGGUCUCAUCGCAGCAGGACCACGGGCUGAACUUAAGCAUAUCAUUCAGCCCAGGAAAAGACAGCAACUGCGAUUCCCGUCGUAGCGGCGAGCGAGCGGGGAAGAGCUCAGCGCUGAAUCGUCGGCCCUCCGGUUGACGAGUUGUAGCGUUCCGGGGCGAGCAGUCCUGACAAUCAGGCGAGGACGAAGUUCUCUGGAAAGCCCGGCAAGGAGGGUGAAACCCCCGUUCCGUCCUCGUCCUGGGUUGGGCUGCCAGCCUCUCACCGAGUAGUGCUGAUUGGGACUGCAGCGCGAAGUGGCAGGUAUAUCUCUGCCAAGGCUAAAUACCGGCCUGAGACCGAUAGCGCACAAGUAGUGCGAACGAAGGAUGAAAAGUACUUUGCAAAAAGAGUUACAAGUACCUGACAUCGUGGCCAGGUAAGGGGUAGAUGCGCUGCCUUCUGCUGGGCACUCGAAGGGGUCUCCGACCCUGUAGACAGGUCCAGCUGCCAGCGCGAGUUGCGCGGCGUCCAGCGGCUCUGGUGGCGUUGGAAGGGGUUCGCCCCGGAAAAGCCCAGAGUUUCGAAGACGCCAAGCGACCCGAAGGAGAUGCGGUGGGGCGAGUGUUCUGCUGCUGGGCGGCCGCCUGUACACGCAUGCGUGGAAGGGCGCGUCGAACUUCCGCGGGGCUCCUCUAACUAUCGCUGAUGCUGGUGAAUGGUGGGGUCUACCCUCCCGUCUUGAAACACGGACCAAGGAGUCCAACUUGUAUGCAAGUGCUUUGGUGAUGGAAACCAAUGCGCGUACUGAAAGGGAAGGUGCCCUCCGGGUACUGUGGUGCGACGGUGGUCCACGGACCUCCCGCAGCAUCCAUCGGUCUGGAUCCAUGGAAAAAGAUCUGAAUGCGAGCAUACAGGUUGGGACCCGAAAGAUGGUGAACUAUGCCCGCACAGGACGAAGCCGGAGGAAACUCUGGUGGAAGUCCGUAGCAGUGUUGACGUGCAAAUCGCUUGCAUGAUUUGGGUAUAGGGGCGAAAGACUCAUCGAACCAUCUAGUAGCUGGUUCACUC